rnacentral:lncRNA from 1 species
GUAGAUGGCAAACUCCUUGAUGUCAAAAAUCCAGUCUCAUAAUUUGGACCCACGUAGUACUGAGCUUGCUAACAGGGUGUGCACAGUAAUCAUUUGUGGACAGGACUUUGGUGACUGGAAGUGUUACAAGACAGGAAGACAACAGGCCUUUUCCAUUCCCACAUUGCAUUUUGCUCAUUUUCAGUUUUACCCAAGAGUGACUCAGAAAUAAAGUAUUCGAAGUCUUGG